AUUGAACGCUGGCGGCAGGCCUAACACAUGCAAGUCGAACGAGUGGCGGACGGGUGAGUAAUGUCUGGGAAACUGCCUGAUGGAGGGGGAUAACUACUGGAAACGGUAGCUAAUACCGCAUACCAUCGGAUGUACCCAGAUGGGAUUAGCUAGUAGGUGGGGUAACGGCUCACCUAGGCGACGAUCCCUAGCUGGUCUGAGAGGAUGACCAGCCACACUGGAACUGAGACACGUUCCAGACUCCUACGGGAGGCAGCAGUGGGGAAUAUUGCACAAUGGGGGCAAGGCUGAUGAUGCCAGGCCGCGUGUAUGAAGAAGGCUUUCGGGUUGGAAAGGACUUUCAGCGGGGAGGCGUUACCCACAGAAGAAGCACCGGCUAACUCCGGGCCAGCCGCCGCGGUAAUAC
rnacentral:rRNA from 1 species